AAAUUGAAGAGUUUGAUCAUGGCUCAGAUUGAACGCUGGCGGCAGGCCUAACACAUGCAAGUCGAACGGUAGCACAGAGAGCUUGCUCUCGGGUGACGAGUGGCGGACGGGUGAGUAAUGUCUGGGAAACUGCCUGAUGGAGGGGGAUAACUACUGGAAACGGUGGCUAAUACCGCAUAACGUCGAAAGACCAAAGAGGGGGACCUUCGGGCCUCUUGCCAUCAGAUGUGCCCAGAUGGGAUUAGCUAGUUGGUGAGGUA
rnacentral:rRNA from 1 species